CUUGUGUGUUCUCAAGAGGUGGGCCCAAGGGACUUUCCUAGGCCAGGUCUUUGCCCUAUGGGUGGGUCAAUCUGUGUGACAGAUGGCUUUUUGGGGGUCCUGAGGGGGAGCCUCCAUAGCCUGGCCUGUCCCCCACCAGAAUCUCAGGACUCUACCAACAAGAACACCAUUGCCACAUACAACCCUCGACCUCGUAUCACAGCUGGAAGGCCAACAUUAACCUCUUUCCCUUACAACUUGUCCAGCUAUAGCUGCAGGAGUCUCUGGUGGAAGCUGUGGGCUCCAGGCUGAGAAGGAUGCAGACAAGCAGUGCCUAGAUGGGACCAGGAGCCCCCCUGUGACCUUCAGGAUGAGUUGCCAGGCUGGCAGGGAAUCACUUACUACUCUGGAGAGCAAAGCAUCGCACUGCACAGGUGCAGCCUAAGGACACGCAGCAGACACUGGUGCCUUGCUGCUGUUGUCCCAAGACACAGUGCACUGCAGUCCUGGGGCAUGCUGAUAGCCAGCAGAUCCUCCUGCCUAGCGCUCGUCAUGAACGAGCCUUGAGCCAGAGGACCAGGGCCUUACAGUAGGAAUGUUCAGAGAGAAUCCUCAGCUGGUUUGCACAGUCGGAGCACUUGAAUAUCAAACAAGAAAAAUAAGAAAGCCUGGACCUUUGAAGAAAUCAAUAACUGUGAUGUUGAAGGAGUUUGUGUAGCCACAGUCAAGAGCCCAAGUGUGUUACACACCGAGGUUGUAGUGUUGGACAGAGCCACUUUGGGGAACUUCACCACUCUCCAGCUGAUUGUAGGGGUUGUGAAAACAAAGGUGUGAGAGACUUGCACCAGAAAGGAGGCUCAGUCCUCUGGGAGCCAGGCUGUCUGGCUCUUUAGCCCAGCUUUCCUUUUCCCAUAAGGAGCUCCAGACUCAUGGGCAGUAUAGGAUGGAUGACUCAAGAUAGAGAUGCUCGAAGUCCAGGAACAGAUCCUGUAGAUCAUGAACUGAAACGAUGGAGUAAGAGAAGGAAAAGCAGACAAUGUAUCAAAGGUUUUUUGUUUC
rnacentral:lncRNA from 1 species